rnacentral:rRNA from 1 species
GAGUUUGAUCCUGGCUCAGGAUGAACGCUGGCGGCGUGCCUAAACAUGCAAGUCGAGCGAAUGGAUUAAGAGCUUGCUCUUAUGAAGUUAGCGGCGGACGGGUGAGUAACACGUGGGUAACCUGCCCAUAAGACUGGGAUAACUCCGGGAAACCGGGGCUAAUACCGGAUAACAUUUUGAACGCAUGGUUCGAAAUUGAAAGGCGGCUUCGGCUGUCACUUAUGGAUGGACCCGCGUCGCAUUAGCUAGUUGGUGAGGUAACGGCUCACCAAGGCAACGAUGCGUAGCCGACCUGAGAGGGUGAUCGGCCACACUGGGACUGAGACACGGCCCAGACUCCUACGGGAGGCAGCAGUAGGGAAUCUUCCGCAAUGGACGAAAGUCUGACGGAGCAACGCCGCGUGAGUGAUGAAGGCUUUCGGGUCGUAAAACUCUGUUGUUAGGGAAGAACAAGUGCUAGUUGAAUAAGCUGGCACCUUGACGGUACCUAACCAGAAAGCCACGGCUAACUACGUGCCAGCAGCCGCGGUAAAGUAGGUGGCAAGCGUUACCGGAAUUAUUGGGCGUAAAGCGCGCGCAGGUGGUUUCUUAAGUCUGAUGUGAAAGCCCACGGUCAACCGUGGAGUGACGAGACUUGAGUGCAGAAGAGGAAAGUGGCAGAGUAGGAGGAACACCAGGGCGAAGGCGACU